GCCGGGAUGGCGGAAUGGUAGACGCAGCGGACUUAAAAUCCGCGGGGGGAAACCCCGUCCGGGUUCGAGCCCCGGUCCCGGUA
rnacentral:tRNA from 2 species